rnacentral:rRNA from 1 species
CCUACGGGUGGCAGCAGUGGGGAAUAUUGCACAAUGGGCGCAAGCCUGAUGCAGCCAUGCCGCGAGUAUGAAGAAGGCCUUCGGGUUGUAAAGUACUUUCAGCGAGGAGGAAGGCAUUAAGGUUAAUAACCUUGGUGAUUGACGCUACUCGCAGAAGAAGCACCGGCUAACUCCGUGCCAGCAGCCGCGGUAAUACGGAGGGUGCAAGCGUUAAUCGGAAUUACUGGGCGUAAAGCGCACGCAGGCGGUCUGUCAAGUCGGACGUGAAAUCCCCGGGCUCAACCUGGGAACUGCAUUCGAAACUGGCAGGCUAGAGUCUUGUAGAGGGGGGUAGAAUUCCAGGUGUAGCGGUAAAAUGCGUAGAGAUCUGGAGGAAUACCGGUGGCGAAGGCGGCCCCCUGGACAAAGACUGACGCUCAGGUGCGAAAGCGUGGGGAGCAAACAGGAUUAGAUACCCGUGUAGUC